rnacentral:rRNA from 1 species
AGGGAAACCGAGUCUUAACUGGGCGUUAAGUUGCAGGGUAUAGACCCGAAACCCGGUGAUCUAGCCAUGGGCAGGUUGAAGGUUGGGUAACACUAACUGGAGGACCGAACCGACUAAUGUUGAAAAAUUAGCGGAUGACUUGUGGCUGGGGGUGAAAGGCCAAUCAAACCGGGAGAUAGCUGGUUCUCCCCGAAAGCUAUUUAGGUAGCGCCUCGUGAACUCAUCUUCGGGGGUAGAGCACUGUUUCGGCUAGGGGGGCAUCCCGACUUACCAACCCGAUGCAAACUGCGAAUACCGAAGAAUGUUAUCACGGGAGACACACGGCGGGUGCUAACGUCCGUCGUGAAGAGGGAAACAACCCAGACCGCCAGCUAAGGUCCCAAAGUCACAGUUAAGUGGGAAACGAUGUGGGAAGGCUCAGACAGCCAGGAUGUUGGCUUAGAAGCAGCCAUCAUUUAAAGAAAGCGUAAUAGCUCACUGGUCGAGUCGGCCUGCGCGGAAGAUGUAACGGGGCUAAACUGUGCACCGAAGCUGCGGCAGCGACGCUUAUGCGUUGUUGGGUAGGGGAGCGUUCUGUAAGCCUGCGAAGGUGUCCUGUGAGGGAUGCUGGAGGUAUCAGAAGUGCGAAUGCUGACAUAAGUAACGAUAAUGCGGGUGAAAAGCCCGCUCGCCGGAAGA